rnacentral:piRNA from 1 species
UCCNGAAAAGAGAGCUGUGAAAGGCAGCGGGC